UUGGAGGGCAAGUCUGGUGCCAGCAGCCGCGGUAAUUCCAGCUCCAAUAGCGUAUAUUAAAGUUGUUGCAGUUAAAAAGCUCGUAGUUGAAUUUCGGGGUCAGUAGGCUGGUCGUGCCUCAGGUACGUACUGGUCUUACUGAUUCCUCCUUCCUGACGAACCGUAAUGCCAUUAAUUUGGUGUUGCGGGGAAUCUGGACUGUUACUUUGAAAAAAUUAGAGUGUUUAAAGCAGGCUAACGCUUGAAUACAUUAGCAUGGAAUAAUGAAAUAGGACGAUCGAUCCUAUUUUGUUGGUUUCUAGGAUUGACGUAAUGAUUAAUAGGGAUAGUUGGGGGCAUUAGUAUUCAAUUGUCAGAGGUGAAAUUCUUGGAUUUAUUGAAGACUAACUACUGCGAAAGCAUUUGCCAAGGAUGUUUUCAUUAAUCAAGAACGAAAGUUAGGGGAUCGAAGACGAUCAGAUACCGUCGUAGUCUUAACCAUAAACUAUGCCGACUAGGGAUCGGAUGAUGUUAAUUUUUUAAUGACUCAUUCGGCGCCUUACGGGAAA
rnacentral:rRNA from 1 species